CCUGAUGCAGCCAUGCCGCGUGUGUGAAGAAGGCCUUCGGGUUGUAAAGCAUUAGCGAGGAGGAAAGGUUAUGGCUAAUAUCCAGUAGCUGUGACGUUACUCGCAGAAGAAGCACCGGCUAACUUCGUGCCAGCAGCCGCGGUAAUACGAGGGGUGCAAGCGUUAAUCGGAAUUACUGGGCGUAAAGCGUACGCAGGCGGUUUGUUAAGCGAGAUGUGAAAGCCCCGGGCUCAACCUGGGAACUGCAUUUCGAACUGGCAAACUAGAGUCUUGUAGAGGGGGGUAGAAUUUCAGGUGUAGCGGUGAAAUGCGUAGAGAUCUGAAGGAAUACCGGUGGCGAAGGCGGCCCCCUGGACAAAGACUGACGCUCAGGUACGAAAGCGUGGGGAGCAAACAGGAUUAGAUACCCUGGUAGUCCACGCCGUAAACGAUGUUACUCGUUUGGUGUCUUGAACACUGGGCUCUCAAGCUAACGCAUUAAGUAGACCGCCUGGG
rnacentral:rRNA from 1 species